GGGCCUGUAGCGCAGUCUGGAUAGCGCACUAGCCUUCUAAAUUUGAGGAGAGCUAGGGGUCGCGGGUUCAAAUCCCGUCAGGCCCG
rnacentral:tRNA from 1 species